rnacentral:piRNA from 1 species
UCAAAAGAUACAUAGUGUAAAGGCCC